CAACGAGAAGCGAACCUGCGAAGGCAAGCGGAUCUCUUAAAGCCGUUCUCAGUUCGGACUGUAGGCUGCAACUCGCCUACACGAAGCUGGAAUCGCUAGUAAUCGCGGAUCAGCACGCCGCGGUGAAUACGUUCCCGGGCCUUGUACACACCGCCCGUCACACCAUGAGAGUCUGUAACACCCAAAGCCGGUGGGAUAACCUUUAUAGGAGUCAGCCGUCUAAGGUAGGACAGAUGAUUAGGGUGAAGUCGUAACAAGGUACC
rnacentral:rRNA from 1 species